UUUCCGUAGGUGAACCUGCGGAAGGAUCAUUACCGAGUAAUCCUGUACUCCAGGAACUCCCACACUUGGCAAUACGACGUUGCUUCGGCGAGUCGUUGGAAACAGCCGUUGGCGGAAGAACAAUACUUUCUACGCGCGCCGGCCGGAGUUUCAUACUCUGAAUUUGUACCGUCUGAUAAACAUGUAAUUAUAAAAAACUUUCAACAACGGAUCUCUUGGUUUUG
rnacentral:misc_RNA from 1 species